CCUACGGGCGCAGCAGUGGGGAAUAUUGGACAAUGGGCGAAAGCCUGAUCCAGCCAUGCCGCGUGUGUGAAGAAGGCCUUCGGGUUGUAAAGCACUUUCAGUGGGGAAGAAAGCCUUGGGGCUAAUACCCUCGAGGAAGGACAUCACCCACAGAAGAAGCACCGGCUAACUCCGUGCCAGCAGCCGCGGUAAUACGGAGGGUGCGAGCGUUAAUCGGAAUUACUGGGCGUAAAGCGCGCGUAGGCGGUCUGAUAAGCCGGUUGUGAAAGCCCCGGGCUCAACCUGGGAACGGCAUCCGGAACUGUCAGGCUAGAGUGCAGGAGAGGAAGGUAGAAUUCCCGGUGUAGCGGUGAAAUGCGUAGAGAUCGGGAGGAAUACCAGUGGCGAAGGCGGCCUUCUGGACUGACACUGACGCUGAGGUGCGAAAGCGUGGGUAGCAAACAGGAUUAGAUCCCCCAGUAGUC
rnacentral:rRNA from 1 species